UGGCUCCCGCAUUGAUGAAGAACGCAGCGAAAUGCGAUAAGUAAUGUGAAUUACAGAACUCAGUGAAUCAUCGAAUCUUUGAACGCAUCUUGCACUCCAUGGUAUUCCGUGGAGUAUGUCUGUCUGAGUGUCAUGUAACUCUCAAUCCUACAUCCCUAUGUUAUAGGGAUGCUGGGGCUUGGAUCAUGAGUGUCUGCUGGACCUGUGUAUCAGCUCGCUCUAAAUAUAUUAGCGGUCUAGUUAUCUCUCCAUAGCUUCGACCUGGCGUGAUAGAAUCAUUCGCUGGGGUUUCCUCCGGAAGGGGGAGGCAAGGUGGGCUCGACAGCUUAUAACCAUCUUUAAGUGUUAGACCUCAGAUCAGGCAGGACUACCCGCUGA
rnacentral:misc_RNA from 1 species